rnacentral:SRP_RNA from 1 species
GGGCGGGUCCUAUACGGCGGAAAGCUGUGAACCAUGUCAGGCGGGGAACCGAGCAGCAUUAAGCAGUUUUUUCUGUGCGAAUAGUCAAUCGGUCCAUU